GACGAACGCUGGCGGCGUGCUUAACACAUGCAAGUCGAACGGAAAGGCCCUGCUUUUGUGGGGUGCUCGAGUGGCGAACGGGUGAGUAACACGUGAGUAACCUGCCCUUGACUUUGGGAUAACUUCAGGAAACUGGGGCUAAUACCGGAUAGGAGCUCCUGCUGCAUGGGGGGGGUUGGAAAGUGUCGGCGGUUGGGGAUGGACUCGCGGCUUAUCAGCUGGUUGGUGGGGUAGUGGCUUACCAAGGCUUUGACGGGUAGCCGGCCUGGGAGGGUGACCGGCCACAUUGGGACUGCGAUACGGCCCAGACUCCUACGGGCGGCAGCAGUGGGGAAUAUUGCACAAUGGGCGGACGCCUGAUGCAGCAACGCCGCGUGCGGGAUGCCGGCCUUCGGGUUGUAAACCGCUUUCGCCUGUGCCGAAGCGUGCGUGACGGUACUGGGUAAAGAAGCACCGGCUAACUACGUG
rnacentral:rRNA from 1 species